CGGACGGGUGAGUAAUGUCUGGGAAACUGCCCGAUGGAGGGGGAUAACUACUGGAAACGGUAGCUAAUACCGCAUAACGUCGCAAGACCAAAGAGGGGGGCCUUAGGGCCUCUUGCCAUCGGAUGUGCCCAGAUGGGAUUAGCUAGUAGGUAAGGUAACGGCUUACCUAGGCGACGAUCCCUAGCUGGUCUGAGAGGAUGAUCAGCCACACUGGGACUGAGACACGGCCCAG
rnacentral:rRNA from 1 species